rnacentral:rRNA from 1 species
UACGUAGGGCGCAAGCGUUGUCCGGAAUUAUUGGGCGUAGAGAGCUCGUAGGCGGUUUGUCGCGUCUGCUGUGAAAACGCGAGGCUCAACCUCGCGCCUGCAGUGGGUACGGGCAGGCUGGAGUGCGGUAGGGGAGACUGGAAUUCCUGGUGUAGCGGUGGAAUGCGCAGAUAUCAGGAGGAACACCGAUGGCGAAGGCAGGUCUCUGGGCCGUUACUGACGCUGAGGAGCGAAAGCAUGGGGAGCGAAC